AGCAGCCGCGGUAAUUCCAGCUCCAAUAGCGUAUAUUAAAGUUGCUGCAGUUAAAAAGCUCGUAGUUGAAUUUCGGGAUCAAUAUGUUGGUCGUGCCUCGGUACGUACUAGCUUAUUGGUUUCUCCCUUCUGACGAACCAUGAUGUCAUUUAUUUGGUGUUAUGGGAAAUCAGGACUGUUACUUUGAAAAAAUUAGAGUGUUUAAAGCAGGCUCACGCUUGAAUACAUUAGCAUGGAAUAAUGAAAUAGGACGUUUGAUUCUAUUUUGUUGGUUUCUAGGAUCGACGUAAUGAUUAAUAGGGAUAGUUGGGGGCAUUAGUAUUCAAUUGUCAGAGGUGAAAUUCUUGGAUUUAUUGAAGACUAACUACUGCGAAAGCAUUUGCCAAGGAUGUUUUCAUUAAUCAAGAACGAAAGUUAGGGGAUCGAAGACGAUCAGAUACCGUCGUAGUCUUAACCAUAAACUAUGCCGACUAGGGAUCGGAUGAUGUUAAUUUUUAAUGACUCAUUCGGCGUACC
rnacentral:rRNA from 1 species